GAGAGAGAGAGAGAGAUGCCCUGAUGUGGGGCUGGGUGGUGCAUCGACAUGGUCGGGACGUAGAAGGGGGUGCGUGGCUAAAUAAGUUUGGGAACCGCUGUUCUGGAGAAUCAACCUGACCUUAAAUCACUGCAUAAUGAAUUGUACGGCAUGCUACCCAGUUGUCUAAUUCAAAUUGCAUGGAAUCCUGAUCCCUAAAGUCUGUAUUUGUUUAUUGAAGCAGCGUACAGAAGCUCGAAUGAGGAGAGGGCGAACCCCGGCAUGUGUAUUUAAUUGCUUUGUUUUACAUCCACGUCCGGCCUCUCCCAGGGUGAUGUGUUGUUAAAAACCAUGAGGCCCUUUUCCCACUCUCUGCUCUCUUGUUAACAGUAAUUGCACUUGUUGGUGAGCUGACAGAAAGAAAAUAGAAAUGGAAACAAAUUACCAGCAUCAUUCCAAGUUCCAUGUUUGCAUCCAGCUUUUCCUCCUCCUUUCUUUUUCUUUGAAAGGAAGUUUUUUUUUUUUUUUUUUUUUUGGAUACUCAAGGAAGUCUGCAUAGCUUUGGUUAAAUGUAGCAGAAUUAAAGUUUGGUUGUGAAGUCAUUGUAUAUAAAGUGUUCACUCAGACGGACUUAAAAAGGAGAUGAAUAAUUCACAGAACCUGGCAGCGUGUGCACAUGCAGGGGCUCUGAUUCGGAGGGAAGGUAAUGCAGGAGGAACUCCCAGUAGAUCUGAAUGUGCAGGUGUUCCUCGCAGUCAAAUGCCACCUCCUUUACUCAGUCACAUCCGUUCCUUCUUUUUCUUAUCAGACAGGUUGCUGUCUCCCGACUUUCUGUUGCUGUCACACACACGCUCAGAAAGUCUAGCUGGGGCCAUCUCUGAGCUUUCAGAGGAGAAAAGAUCAUUACUGUUGCAGACGGCAGCCAUUUUAUGAAUUUGUACACUAUCACAGUCUGCCUUUCCCCUUCUUUGUCACACUUAGACUGCCUCAACUCACAGAGGAGCUGCUCCCACAAAUGUCUGUUUGACUACUGAUCCUGUCGCGUAUAAAGUUCUGCAGCUCUGAGCUUUUUCCUGACAGCCUGGGUUGAAGAAUUAAGCGAAAAGAUUGGCUUUAUCUUGUUGGGGAACUCGCGUGAUUUCCAUAAAGUGUGAGGUGAAGCGUUUCCUGCCUUUUGAGGUACUUAUUUAGAUCUAAGAAUAAAAGAUUUUCAGUAGGGAUGUUGGAUGUUAUCAGUCUAACCGUUGGAGACAAAUUUAACAUGAACCUUUGUCCGAUUACCAACUUAAUUUGAAAUAGUUGUAAUUUUGCACAUAUGUUUAAAGCUUAAAGGAGACAUAACAUGAAAAACCCACUUUUUUAUCCAUUAACACAGUGUGUUUCACAUUUUAAGUGUCUAAGUGAGCAAAAAGGCUUAUAUUAUUCACUGGAGUUGCUAUUUAGAUAUUUAAUAAUUAAGUUUUGGGCAUAUUUGUCCACCCGUUCAGUUUUCACAUUAUCUAUUACAUCUAUUUCGUCAGGAUAACUACCAAAUAUGGUAAUGGCCCUCGGCUAAACACAGAGCCAAUCCGCCAUUUUUUCUUCUCGCUAAGAUUUUUUGUAGUCCUAUUGGAAAAAUGCAGAAUGUCUGGUUAUUUUAGCCACACACAGCUCAAAACUGUUCCUCGUUUUAAGGAAGGGUGGUGUGGCAGUAUUUAAACCCAGGAGCUGAUGACACUACUGCUAAAACAACACAGAAGAAAAAGUAGUGUUUGUGUGUGUGUGUGUGUGUGUGUGUGUGUGUGUGUGUGUGUGUGUGUGUGUGUGUGUGUGUGUGUGUGUGCGCGUGCGCGCGUGGUUCGUUUGUUCUGUCUCCAGGCUAGUGGCUAAGUACUGAGGGCUUCAUCUAUCUAAAAGGAGUCAUUUCCAUCUGAAUGUGGCAGCACCGGGACACAGCAGCAGAGCGAGUCCACAUCCAGAAGACUGGAGCCGUGUUUCACUGACAGGCUGUCAGACUAACGCCCUGAUGAGCUCAGCUGGGACAAACUGGUCUGGAACACAGAACGCUCAGAUGUUGAAGCUCACGUGACCUACUGAGGACGGAGACCCACCAGUAAAGAGAUGGUAGCUGGACCAGACCAAAAAUAUGACGAUGACAUCAUGGAACUGGUCAUUGGAAAAGUUUUCCCUGAACCAACUCCGUUUCUAGAUGAGGUAGAGAAGAUCUGCAUCUCAUCAACUCUCUGAUCUCAGUAUUCAGACAACGGAGGUCUCCCACUGUUAUCCAGGACCAGUUUGAAGCCCACAUACUUCCCCUCCCUCAUCAUCAGGAAACAUCAAUCCGUAUCCUGAGGACAACAGAAGACGGCAGGAGGACAGGAACUCUGAGACCUAGACACCACCAGCACCGGGACACAAAGCACCUGUGUGCACAACGCCUGUUUAACUACUAAAACCUGUUUAUUAUAUUGUUCUACUUAUUUGCUGUGAGGUUAAUACUUAGAAAAUUUGUAUAUUAAUGUAAACAAUUUAAAAAAAUCACUGAUUGUAUGUUUUCUUUUAGAUGUAAUGGUCCAAACUCCGCCUUGUAGACAUUUAUUGCAUCCUGUAGGUAAAUACACAGAACAGGCUCAGAUCCAGGAUGACCCAGCAUGCUCUUCUUCCAUUCUGGCUGUUAGGGAUUGUAUCAAUAACUCAAUGCCUACUGAUGUUUUCACCUAACGGUAUUUAUUUAGAAUGCAGGUAAGAUUUAACUAUAUUUGUUAGCAAAGAAGACUGAUCUUGGGAAUUUCACUGCAGCACUGAUGUCCACCUCUCUGUACACAUUAGAGAGAAUUACCACUUUACAGCUAAACACAUUUAAUAAAGAUAUAGGCUACGCAUUGCAGACAAUAAAAACAAAGUUGUAAGCAUUAGAAUUAUAAUCACAUUAAAGAACAUUUGGAGGAAUGUUCUUUAUUUUUGACUAGAAUCUCAAAUCUUUAAAUUAAAAUGUAACUGCUUUUUAUCCAUUUUCAGCCAUUAAGACACCCAAUAUUAAAUAAGACUACUUAUAAAAUUAUUUAUAAUUAUAUGUAUGUAUAUAUAUAUAUAGAGAGAGAGAGAUCUUAAUAAAAUAUAUUUUUAAUGGUGUUUUAAUGAGCUGUAUCAUUUUUUAAAACAUUUUUAUAGAAAUAAAUAAGCAAGCAGCAUUCCUUGUGUGUGUGCGCGUGCCUGCUCGCUUGUCCCGUCGGCCGUGACGGAUGUGUGUGUGUGUGUGUGCGCGCACGUGCCUGCUCACUUGUCCCUCCGUCGGCCGUGACGGGUGUGUGUGUGUGCGCGCGUGCACGUGCCUGCUCACUUUUCCCUCCGUCGGCCGUGACGGGUGUGUGUGAGUGACUACAAAUGCAUGAGAGAGUUAGCAGCCUUGAAACAGCUUGAUUAACUACUCUCCCCACAUGUUUUAAAAAUGCUAAUAUGCUAUGCUAAAUCUGCUAUGCUAAAUAAUGAUUUCUCUAUAGAACUACAAAGUCCGGCUGGGGGAGGAGAGUACAGGUCUGCACUAUGGAGGGGGGCGGAGUUUACAGCUCCUCCUCCAGUUUAAAGAGACAGUACCCAAAAACGGCUCGUUUUCAAGACUCUCCUCAGAACAGGGGUAGAUGAGGGUCUGUAGAGCAACAAUAAUGAGGAAAUCAGACCAAAGAACUGCAGUUCCACUGUUUUUAGACCCCCAACUGAAGGAUUUAGAUGUAAAAAGGAAUAACUUAAAAGCAUGUUAUGUCUCCUUUAAGGAUGCAUGAUAGGAGAAAUGUUAUGUUAGCAACCUAUAAUGAAUUAGCUUUUCUUUUUUUAUAAGGGGGUAGCCCCUUCAUGGGCUGCAUGGUGGUGCAGUGGUUAGCUCUGUUGCCUCGCAGCACGAAGGUUGCAGGUUCGAAACUCGGCUGCGGCCUUUCUGCGUGGAGUUGCGUGUUCUCCCCAUGCAUGCGUGGGUUUCCUCCGGGUACUCCGGUUUCCCCCACAGAUCACAACAUGCCCUACAGGUUAUAAAUUGUAAGUCGCUUUGGAUAAAAGCGUCUGCUAAAUACAUAAACAUAAACAUGUAUUGAAAUUGAUUUAUAUCAGUAUCGAAAUUUAAGAGUAAAACAGUAUUGGAUAUUGUUAAAACGUGCCAAUAUCAAGCAUCCCUAAUUUUCAGCAUAAACAAGCCAUGAAUUGUUGCUUUGUUUUUUAUUUAGUCAAAAGCCUUUUCAAGCAUUUUAUAGAAGUAGAUUCAUUUCUUCACUAAAGAAAAAAAAACUGUCCGGUUUUUACACUAGAGUACCCAACAUUUUUUCUCACAGCCGCUAUAAUCUGUAGAAAUUUAUUUGAAAAUUUGCCAAAUUCUAUAUCUUUACCAUGAAAUCUUUUUCAUAAUUAAAAAAAUUGCCUAAAAUCAUCAUCUAUAUGUUCACAUUAAUAAAAAUUCAACCAUCCCAAAGAAACAUAUUCAGAUUUGAAUGACAAAGUACAAUUGAAGCAAAAAUGCAGCAAAUAAAAUGUUUCAGUUGUAACGUCCAAAAGGGUCAGUUUUCACCUAUAUAUUGACCAACAUCAUGACCUUUCAUCUACAGCAGCGGUUCCCAAACUUAUUUAGCUGCGCACCCCCUUGUAUGUCCCGACCAUGUCGACGCACCCCCCAGCCCCCACA